rnacentral:misc_RNA from 1 species
UUUCCGUAGGUGAACCUGCGGAAGGAUCAUUAUUGUAUAACCGAGGUGCGAGGGCUGUCGCUGACCCGAAAGGUCGUGCACGCCCGAGUGCUCUCACACACAUCCAUCUCACCCCUAUGUGCACCACCGCGUGGGUCCCCCUUUGGCUUGUUCGGAGGGGGGCGUACGUCUUCACACAAACUUUGUAUGCAGUGUAGAAUGUAUUUUUUGUUUUUGCGAUCACGCAAUCAAUACAACUUUCAACAACGGAUCUCUUGGCUCUC